UGCUGCUGCUGCUGCUGUCUUAACGACGCUCUGAGUGUAAAUGACCGCAAGGUGGCAGCAGCGCGCUGACAGAUCUGUUUCCAUAGAAACGCUGUGAACAACACAGGAAGAGACCCGGAAGAGGCGCAUGCUCAAUAUUAAUACAUCAGGAUCAUUUACGUGUUUAUAAUUUAGAUAUUAAAGUAUAAUAAAACAUGGAUUAUUCACCACCAAGGAAGAGGAGUGGACUUCCGCGGGAAGUGUGGAAAUGGCUGCAGAGUCUCGAGCUCUCUAUUUCACCUAAAAACAUCCGGAGAGAUUUCUCUAACGGUUGUCUGGUGGCAGAGAUUUUCUCCUGGUAUUUCCCCGAGGACGUCUCUCUACACUCGUACCAGAACGGAGUGUCGCUCGGCACCAAGCAGAGCAACUGGAGUCAGAUCGAGAAGGUGCUGGUGAAGCGGCGCAUCAGUUUAUUGAAGGAGUUGAUUAAUGGUACGAUUCACUGCAAACCAGGAGCAGCCGAGGCUUUAAUUCAGGAGAUUUACACAUUACUGACCAACAGGAGGAUCCAGAGUGUCCAGGAGGAGGUGCUGGACUUCAGCGAUCAGAGUUACCAGGAGCAGCUGCCCAUGACGGCUCGAGCCACGGCGUCUAAAGCCAUAAAAAACAACCAGAAUCUGAGUGAGGAGCUCGUGGAGCACAACAUCAACACCACACAGAGGAAAAUCCACAACAUCAUCCACCGGCAUGUGGACCUCCGGAGACAGGAGAGGGUCCAGAACCCCCAGCGCUUUAACGUGAAGCCCACGCUGGGAGAGCAGGCUGUCCGACUACCACCAUCACACACUCACACGCCACCACCACCUUCUCCAUCAUCCUCAUUAUCAUCAUCCUCAUCAUCAUCACCUGUAUGAUUACAGCAUUACUGAGAUUAAAACAGUGAACUCAUUAGACUAGAGGCUCGACCGAUACAACAGAUUCUGAGCAUGGUGACUGAUGGGAGUCGCAUCGCAGGGAUCAGAUUAUAUCUCCAGCUCCAACUUUGGAAACAAAAAUACUUUAGUAAACGACGAUUAAGUAAUAAAGAUAUUUACUGUAUUUAUAAUCAGACCGAACGUACACAGACUUCACAGCAAAUCAGCCUCCAGUCUGACUCAUGAGGAGUGUGUUAGUUACAUUCGCCUCGUAGCUCCAAGACAGGAAAUAAACACGGUUUAGCAAACGGACGACGUUUAGAGGGAACGGAACCGACGGAACAGCCGAGUUAUCUGAUUAAUGUGUGAACAAUCAUUAAAUAAUAAAUGAACAUGUAACAUG